rnacentral:RNase_MRP_RNA from 2 species
CCCUCGCCCAACAAAUCGCUAUCGAAGCUCACACACGAAGAUUCUCUUCUGAAUCUUUCCCACCUGGCUUCGGGAGAAAGUCCCCGGACACUCUUCCUCCGGGAAGAACGCGGAAACGCGCCGCCACAGAAGCAACUUGCGGCUGACCUCUGCCGGCCAGUCUCGCGUCUGAUCCGCUCUGCCCUGCCCGUCCGUUAAGUCGGCCUUGCUCCCCGGGGACGUCAGCCAGCCCGUUGCGGUCCUUGUCGGGCGGCCAGAGACCACUUGGACGAAGAUACGAGUCCGCGCUCUGGUCCGCUCGGGGAGUGCUGUCGCGGUGCUGGUGUCUGCGGUGCGGGUCGGUGGCGGGUGGCCGUGGACGGUUUGGAUGCCUGGCGCUUACGCUGGCUUGAGGGCUUUUUAGUCGAGAUGUCAUAGGGAUGCGAUUGCCUCGGUUGGUUUCGGCCGCCUUGGUUACUCGAUGGGGCUUAUUCUUGGUGCGAGG